UGUUGAUACGGUUUCCGUUACUCUGUACAUAGCAAACCGUAACGGCCACUAGCAAAUGUCUUAUCGCUGGUGCGUAUUACAGGGUGUGUCCUUGCGACAAACACAA